GCGCAUUUCGUUCGCAGUAAUUGGGCGAUGUUUGCAGAUAAACCAAAUCCAUGCGUUUGGGAUAAUUCAUCACUUUGCCGGCACGAUUUUUUCUAUGCAACACGAAAAAAAAAACAAAAAGGAGAAGGAAAGAGAAAAUGGUAAUUAACAACUUAAGAGACUAUUUGGAGGCUGUUCAGGCUGUGUUUUUUUGGUUUCAGUUCAUCACAGUUGGAUCACGAAUCAGUUCCAUCGACAACGAAAGGAAAAGCUUCCUUGGGCUAUUUGACCCACGAUAUUUGGGUUUCGUUAACAGGAGAAACCCAAGAUGCAACCGCCACCUCCAAACGUAAUGCUGCAUAAAAUAUUGUGGCAUUGUCAUUCCAACGAAAUAUGUCUUUCAUCCGCUCAACAUUUAGUAUCCAUUCACGGAAAGUCACUGAAUCUUGACGUGAUGGAUUAAACACAGAAAUCAGUCUUCUGCAUUCUUCAAUUCCACACCACAUAGCUCCGGAUCACACAACUUCUUGAUACGGCUGUUUAUUACUGUCUAUUGAACGUGCAUAACAACAAUCAAGGACAGCCGCAUCGACAAGAUAACAUUCAUAAUAGAAACUCAG
rnacentral:sRNA from 1 species